rnacentral:lncRNA from 1 species
AAAUUGACAAUGUUGAAACCAGCUGGGCUCUGGGAGCUAUUUUUCAUUACAUCGACUCCCUGAAGAGACAGAAGGUUCCUGCCUUGUAGCAGCUGAGCCCUAGUCCCUGCCUCAACCAGAAUUCCAAGGCUCCCAACUCCAUGGACCCCUCUGUCUUGGAAGUGACACCAUCCUUGAGGAGCCUGCAUCUGGCUGAGACCCUCUGUGCCUGCAGUGUCAUCUGCAGAUUUGCCUGGGACAUGGCCCAUGUACUAGCCCUGCUACACCACACUAGCUGGGGCAGGGCCAGGGUAGGAAUGCUGCUUGGCCUGAGGCCAUCUCCCUGCCUUACUUACCUCCAAGUGGGCAGGGAGCCAGGUGGGGCCCAGGGCACAUGCAGCCCUGUUCUUAUUCCAUCCCUGUGCAGGAUUGUGGCUGCUUUUAUGUGUUUCUGUGACGUGAGUCUUGUUUUGUCUCCCAGCCCCUGUUCCCUCAUGAGCCAGGCCUCUCUGCCUUCCCAGAGUUGUGGGAGUUGAAGUAACCUGACCUUGCCACAGUGCAACCUCGAGGGGAGCACAUCUUGAAUGUGGCCAUCUCUUCCUCGGGACAGACAUGUGAAAUCACCUGGAGAUUUGCUGUCCCACCUUUGAAUGGUAUAGCAUUAACUGAUGUGGGGACACUGAGUAGGAAGAAGAUGGCCCAGUGCCUCUUUACAGACCCAGCGUGCCGCCUUUGCAGAGAAUGUGGGUGUGAGCAGAGCUGUGAGAAUGUUCAGGGCCGUUGCUCAAGUACUACCUUGUGAGCUGUGAGUGCUUUAUGUUAAAACUGAGCCCCUCUUCUGGACACAACUAUGUCCCAGUGAAUGUAUUCCUGCUAUGAGCCACUUGCAGACCAGUGGGGCGGAUGAGAAAGCUCAGCCCUGAACCAUACUACCCCUUACCCCACCCUCCUCACUCGGCUGCAGCUGGCUUCCCCAUGGUCCCCUCAGUGAAUGUACAGUUCAUAAAAUAAGCUGAGCCACCACUGUUCAACUCAAAAUAAAGGUUUACAAGGGUUUC